rnacentral:rRNA from 1 species
UACGGGGGGUGCGAGCGUUAGUCGGAAUUAUUGGGCGUAAAGGGUGCGUAGGUGGUUGGAUCAGUCAUCUGUGAAAUACCCGGGCUUAACCUGGGCAGGUCAGAUAAGACUGUUUGACUGGAGUAUAGGAGAGGGUAGUGGAAUUUCCGGUGUAGCGGUGAAAUGCGUAGAGAUCGGAGGGAACACCAGUGGCGAAGGCGGCUACCUGGCCGGAUACUGACACUGAAGCACGAAAGCGUGUGGAGCAAACAGG